rnacentral:misc_RNA from 1 species
CGCCUCUGCUACUGUGCCGGCCCAUCUUCUGCACCAAUUCGCAUGUAAGCGGCCACUGCGCUCCGCCCCUGUGCAGUCUCUGCCCGUCUGCAGCGACGCCGGAGAAGCGCGGCACCUGCACUCACUUCAAGAGAGACGCAGCCGCAGACAUCUUCAAGAACAGGAACAUGGCAUCCAGGCUCCAUCUCAUCGCUACAGCCAACCUCCUUUGCUUUCGCCAGUCGCCCAUGUGACGCCUGUGCUCCUCUUCACACUCCACGCCGAUCAGCACCGUCGUCUGGCCCUCACCCCCUUCUCUCUCUCUGCGGCACCCCCACGUGAUGAUUCGCCGUGCAUUCCUGUGGUAUCUGAUGCAUCUUGCAUGAACACGAAAAAACGCAACGAGCGCCCUUCGCGACGAAGCGGUGCGAACUGAGUGGGGCUGCACGCGCGUGAGUGCGUGCCCAUGGCGUGCUGCGUUGCUCGCGGUGCAGCACUGCUGCUCCUGCGGUGCAUGUGAGUGUGGCCGCUGUCCCCCCUUCCUGUGUGUGUGCCUUCGCCGUGGUGAUGCCAGACACGAUUCUAUUACCUGUGGGAUCUGAUCAAGUGUUGCAUUGAUGCGAAGCAGAACGAUGCACGCGUGCAGCGUGUUAGACUGAGGCGGCGGAGUUUUGAGUGUGGCGGCGCCGGUGCGCAUCCGCACACGCAUACCAAUCUGCGAAAGAGGGCUAUCGAGCGCGCGUGUGCGUGCACGAAGGUUCUCCUGCAUCCCCCCCCCCACGUGAUGAUUCGCCGUGCAUUCCUGUGGUAUCUGAUGCAUCUUGCAUGAACACGAAAAAACGCAACGAGCGCCCUUCGCGACGAAGCGGUGCGAACUGAGUGGGGCUGCACGCGCGUGAGUGCGUGCCCAUGGCGUGCUGCGUUGCUCGCGGUGCAGCACUGCUGCUCCUGCGGUGCAUGUGAGUGUGGCCGCUGUCCCCCCUUCCUGUGUGUGUGCCUUCGCCGUGGUGAUGCCAGACACGAUUCUAUUACCUGUGGGAUCUGAUCAAGUGUUGCAUUGAUGCGAAGCAGAACGAUGCACGCGUGCAGCGUGUUAGACUGAGGCGGCGGAGUUUUGAGUGUGGCGGCGCCGGUGCGCAUCCGCACACGCAUACCAAUCUGCGAAAGAGGGCUAUCGAGCGCGCGUGUGCGUGCACGAAGCUUCUCCUGCAUCCCCCCCCCCCCCACGUGAUGAUUCGCCGUGCAUUCCUGUGGUAUCUGAUGCAUCUUGCAUGAACACGAAAAAACGCAACGAGCGCCCUUCGCGACGAAGCGGUGCGAACUGAGUGGGGCUGCACGCGCGUGAGUGCGUGCCCAUGGCGUGCUGCGUUGCUCGCGGUGCAGCACUGCUGCUCCUGCGGUGCAUGUGAGUGUGGCCGCUGUCCCCCCUUCCUGUGUGUGUGCCUUCGCCGUGGUGAUGCCAGACACGAUUCUAUUACCUGUGGGAUCUGAUCAAGUGUUGCAUUGAUGCGAAGCAGAACGAUGCACGCGUGCAGCGUGUUAGACUGAGGCGGCGGAGUUUUGAGUGUGGCGGCGCCGGUGCGCAUCCGCACACGCAUACCAAUCUGCGAAAGAGGGCUAUCGAGCGCGCGUGUGCGUGCACGAAGCUUCUCCUGCAUCCCCCCCCCACGUGAUGAUUCGCCGUGCAUUCCUGUGGUAUCUGAUGCAUCUUGCAUGAACACGAAAAAACGCAACGAGCGCCCUUCGCGACGAAGCGGUGCGAACUGAGUGGGGCUGCACGCGCGUGAGUGCGUGCCCAUGGCGUGCUGCGUUGCUCGCGGUGCAGCACUGCUGCUCCUGCGGUGCAUGUGAGUGUGGCCGCUGUCCCCCCUUCCUGUGUGUGUGCCUUCGCCGUGGUGAUGCCAGACACGAUUCUAUUACCUGUGGGAUCUGAUCAAGUGUUGCAUUGAUGCGAAGCAGAACGAUGCACGCGUGCAGCGUGUUAGACUGAGGCGGCGGAGUUUUGAGUGUGGCGGCGCCGGUGCGCAUCCGCACACGCAUACCAAUCUGCGAAAGAGGGCUAUCGAGCGCGCGUGUGCGUGCACGAAGCUUCUCCUGCAUCCCCCCCCCCCCCACGUGAUGAUUCGCCGUGCAUUCCUGUGGUAUCUGAUGCAUCUUGCAUGAACACGAAAAAACGCAACGAGCGCCCUUCGCGACGAAGCGGUGCGAACUGAGUGGGGCUGCACGCGCGUGAGUGCGUGCCCAUGGCGUGCUGCGUUGCUCGCGGUGCAGCACUGCUGCUCCUGCGGUGCAUGUGAGUGUGGCCGCUGUCCCCCCUUCCUGUGUGUGUGCCUUCGCCGUGGUGAUGCCAGACACGAUUCUAUUACCUGUGGGAUCUGAUCAAGUGUUGCAUUGAUGCGAAGCAGAACGAUGCACGCGUGCAGCGUGUUAGACUGAGGCGGCGGAGUUUUGAGUGUGGCGGCAGCGAUGUGCCACUGGAGCGAGAGUGCGCUCCGUGAGAGUGACUAUGGUUCACGGUGCUCGAUGCGACGGUGACAUUGUGUGAAAGGAGCGUGGGUGUCUUCCGUUGUAGGUGUUGGAGAGUUUGGAGGGGAUAGGAUGGUGGUGCGGCGUAGCUGCGGUGAGAAUUCGGAUGGUACGGCGCAGUGUCUGUUGCCUGCGAGGAGCAGGCCUCAUCGCUGUCGUUAGCGUUUCUUGUCUUACUCUUGCCGUCCUUCCCAAUGCCUGAAGCUGUGCUGGGGUGUAUGCGAUGUGCGAGUGUAUGUCUUGGGAGGGAGCCGCUUGUCCUGCGUCUCUCGAUUCUCAUAUCAGGCGCUCACUGAUCAGGCUUUGGGCGCAGAGUGGCGGGGGGUGGUGGUGGAAAAGGUGCCGAGCGAUGGAGAGAGCCGUACGGUGGGGCUGCUCAUGGAUGGAGGAACAUAUCUGCGGAGAAAACAGGACGCUGCUCGCAUGACGCCCAUAUCGUGCCUGAGGUGAAGGUUCAUCAUCACAGGCGGAAGGCGAAUGGCGAGAUGUCUGGAUGCGUGCCGCUGUGUGCUCAUUCUCCGCCUGCACCCGCUCUCUUCGUUCAGGCGACGAAGGGCGGCGACAGUCGUGGCGCUCUAUGCUUUCUGUGACGCUGAGACAUUUCGCAUGUGUGUCUGCAUGUGUGUGCCUUUGGGGCUCACGCUCCUCUCCCUUAGCAGCCGGUGGCGCUGCUGUUCAUCUUUCACGUUGCGUUUUGUACAUGUGCACGCGCUUCUGUCCAUCUUGCCUCCCCUCCUGACCACUCCCCCUCCGCCCGUUUCCAUGAAACACAUACGCGGCUGCGAAUGCCACUCGCGCUUGCUUCUUCAUCUGUGAGCGCGGCGGGGCACCGCAAG